AUGCUUGCAUUUCACAGAAUGCUCAGGAGUCAGACUUCAGGAUACUGUGUGAUGCAGCCACUCUCACGUUCAUCAUCCAGUGUAAGCAGUUGUUGUAGUGGAUUGAGGGAAAAUGGAACAUCAGAGGAAGAGGAGAAUGACAGGGAGCUGACGUGCUCACUUAAGGGCCCUCCAAAAAAGGAUUCAAUGAUUCAGAGUAUGUGGCUGGAUGACAAUGACUGCACACCCAGUACUUCUAGCUCACCAGGAAGCAGGUUGCUUCCUUCCAGCAGUGUUGCUGGCUCCACUGGAAAAGGAAAAGGCAGCAAAGCAGAGGCUCAGCACCAUAAUCCAGUAAGUGCUUUAAUAAAAUGUUUCCUUCUCGCUUGCACAGAGGUAAGGACGGGAGAAAAGAGAGAGGCUUGAUGUAGGAGGUGUUGCUUGCUGAGGGUCGAAAGGACAGUAGGGCAGGAGGAAGGCGCUUGCAGGGGAGGUUAAAGCAGUGCCUUGUUCUGCAGGCCUCCAUUUUGUGCUGUGUGUGAUGUCGGCGCUGGAGCACUGCCUGCCGCACGCAGGGUGAGCAGCACAGGUAAUGCACACGGGGGGAGGAGAGCCACGGGCCCCUGGCCACCCCUGCCUCACUGAGACAGUGCAGCAAGUGCUUUACAGCUUCUCAGGAAACUGUUAGUCCUUUACCUUCCUCCCCAAGUCAUCUUCCAUGGCCAGCAGCUCUGGCCUGCCUGAUUUACCUAAGCACUCCCUUUCUUAGCUGCCUCCUCCCUCUCAGGGAACAGCAUUUCCCACUGAGAUUUUGUUCUCUGCCCUAAUCUAGGCACACUUUCUUUCUCUUGUCUUUCAUUGUUCAGUUUCCUUUCUUCAGAUACAACCUACCUUUCUGUGUGCCUAACCUCUGCUUUUUGUAAUAGUUUCAUUACUUUACAGAACCCCUUUUCGUUGCUCAUUUUCUGAUGUUGUACCUAUCUGUAUACUUGCUUAUUUGCUUUCAGGCUAGCACUGGUGGGACCUACUUGUCCAUGCCAGUUUCACAGCUUUUCCAGAUAUGGGAAGUGGGACUUGAUUUCCUGGUGAGAUCUGUAAUAGAGCAAAGGGAAACACAACUUCAGGAUUGUUCCCUGGACAGUUUUGCCUGUGUUGUUGAGAGUCUUUUUGCUCAAUAUCCCUGUCCUUGCCCAGUAUAUUCUGUGGCCUGACAGCUCAACAGCUGCCUUGAAGUUGGUGGGGAUGUGAGGCUCUUAGGAACUCGACUGAGUAGCUGAGUAGAAGAGGUAUCAUCUUUAUGGAAGAAAAUUCUUUCAGCUAUUCCUAAAUAUUCUUAAAUAGCUGGUAGUUAUUGUUGUUCAGAUCCUCAGCGCUCAAGUUUUAGCUGCUCUGCCACCUUGUGGCAUUCAGAGCAGCCAGGUGAACAGUUCAGCUCCAUGUGGUGGUGGCCACUGGUGCCACAGCAGAUCAGAGAGGGAAGCUGGCACUCAGCGCUGAGGCUGCUUCAAUGUGUGCUACAGCAGAGAUCAGAACUGAGCAUGACAGUGCAGCUGCCAGCAGCCACUGUUUACUGGGGUCAUCCCCAGAGUGUUUGCCAAGAGCUUGUACUCACAGCAUGGCUCUGUAACACAGGAGCAAUGCUGUCUAAAUGAUGGGCAGAACUCCUUCAAAGUUCUGCUCCCAGACAGGCAAAUUUUGCUCAAAAUAGGUACAGAGUCAGAAUUGCAACAAUCUGCAAACUCACUGGUGCAAAGGCAAAGGCUGUGGUUUUGCAUUUACUGGUAGCUAUUACAGGCAAUUAGCAAUGUAUCUCAGUAGUACUUAGGUAUAAUUUUAGUACCUAAGGUAUUCAGCAUUUAAUUUCCACUGAUUUGAAGUAGGUCAAAGAGCAUUUUUUAAGAUAAUUUCGUGAAAUAUAUUGCAGUUUGUAGGACCCAUGUCUUUUGGUCUGUCUGCCAAAUCAACAACAUUCUGCCACAAAGGCUGGUUAUUUUUCAGUUGAUCUGGUUCAAAGAACAAAGUUUCAUGAGGCCCUGCUUUUCACUGUGAGAUUAUUUCCAGAUGUUCUUUGAAUUCUCACCAGCUCCUUACCAGAGUUCAUUAUUUUCAUAAAAGGGCAUUUCACCCACUCCUGAGACAGCAUUCCUGGCUUAAAGUGAUGUUUUAGUCAUUCCAUUUUGUCACAACCUCUGAAUCAGUUUGAUAGCACAGAUGGGAGACUAGCAAGUUUCAGGGGAGAAAUGGUAAAAAAAAUUCUGUAACAUGGCUGCAAGGGACUCAAAGAAACCUAUGGCACCCACAUCCAUGGUAACCUCCUUGUCAUUCUAACUCCUCUUAUCUCUCACAAAGAUUUCCUUCAGUUCCAGGCUGGAUUUGGCCAAAGACUAAUGUUUGCACUGGUAAAAAGGAGAAAGAACUCCUCCAAUCCUAGGGUAUUUCCUGAAGAGCUGAAAGAAAUAGAAAUUGUGGAUGGGGGAACACAUGAUACUCCCACAACACUUAGAGCUGUAAGAACAUGAAGGAUACAGACUUUUUUCUGAUGCUCUAUUCUAGGAUUUGCUGUUCAAGUGAAAAUACAUGAAUAUACUUUACCUUAAAAAGACAAAAAGGGGAAUUCCAGUUGCAGCUGUUUCAUUCAGUGUGGAAUCAUGGAGAAAUCAAACUUUAUAUAAAUGAAAUUUCUGUGUGUCAUUCUAAUUCAGCCAAUACAGGGCUGAACUCAAACUGUUUGUGUGUGAAGUUCCUUAUUUUAAUUGCUUGCAUACCUUUCCCUCUGCAGACUACAUGACUGGAAGUCCCUCACAGCCAUAUCCAAAUCACCUUUGGAUAGGCAGAAAUUAGGGCAUCCUUGAGGAAGCAAAACAGAGUCUACUUCAGUUACCAGCUGAACCUACAGUGGUGUUCACAACUGUUCUCCAAAGACAUUCCUGUAAAACUUGCAUUAGUUAAAAACCCCUGCAAGGUUUGGGGUUGGUGCCCAUGAAUGCACAUGUGUGGUGGCCUCCUCAAAUAUCAGUGACUGCAGAGCAAGUGUAUCAAAUACUGUCCAGGAUGGGGACAAUUCCUUUUAAAAUACUUGAUUGGUUCCCUAGAUUCUUUUUUGGGCUGUAAUUUUGUGUCCUUCCCAGCUGCCAUGAUGCAAAGUAAAAGGAAGCAUUAAUAUCUUAGCCUGUGCUUCUUAUAUCUAUGUAGUACACUGGACUUAAAAUAAAAAGAGAAUGUGGCCAGUUUCUCUUAGGUUU
rnacentral:lncRNA from 1 species